rnacentral:lncRNA from 1 species
UAUUAACUUUGUGUUCUAUAGUAUAACAACAGUAUCAGGCACAACAUUUAUCAUAUGUGGGUUGGUCAUUAGCUACCAGUGCACACUUGCUCAAAAUGCUCAGCUCUCCUUACUUUGUUUGUAGGCAGCAUUGCCUCCUUCCAGGCUCCAAAUGCCAAGCUUCGACUGGUGGUUCUGGCCCUGGGUGUGUCCUCUUCGCUGAUAAUGCAAACUGUAACUUGGUGGUCAGGAAACAGCUUGCAAAGGUACCUCAGAAUCUGGGGCUUCAUUUUAGGACAGAUUCUCCUUGUUGUCCUCCGAAUAUGGUACACCUCACUAAACCCAAUCUGGAGUUAUCAGAUGUCCAACAGAGUGAUGCUGACCCUAAGUACAAUAGCUAUACUUGAUCGCAUUGGCACAGGUAAGUGCAAGGGCUCGUCUCCCUUGCAGUUUACCUUUUCUAUAUGAAUGUAGCAUGCCUAGAAAAGCAAAUUCAUAAAAAU